rnacentral:rRNA from 1 species
GACGAAGGGGGCUAGCGUUGUCCGGAAUUAUUGGGCGUAAAGAGCUCGUAGGCGGUUUGUCGCGUCGAAUGUGAAAUCCCGGGGCUCAACCCCGGGCCUGCAUUCGAUACGGGCAGACUAGAGUUCGGUAGGGGAGUCUGGAAUUCCUGGUGUAGCGGUGAAAUGCGCAGAUAUCAGGAGGAACACCGGUGGCGAAGGCGGGACUCUGGGCCGAUACUGACGCUGAGGAGCGAAAGCGUGGGGAGCAAACAGG